UAGGCCUUUCUUUCCCCGCUGCCCCCAGGACUAAAACAAAACAAAAAUCUAUUACAUUAGCACCUUGUUACUCCAAAGGAACAGCUGUGGAAAGACGGUUUGAGUUUGUAAACAUGUCAUUUAAAGGUUUAUUUAGAGCCUAAGAAUUGCUGGAGGCACAGAACAUGAGCCCAAACAUUCCCUUCCAUUGCCGAUUCUCUUUCUGCUGUUGCUGACCUGACUUUAAGUUGCUUUCAUACAUGCUUUUGGGGGUCCCACUUUGACUUUACUGAACUCAUUCUUCAGAGAAAGGCAUGAGGAUGGGUUUAAGAAGUCAAGCAAACAUCCAGAGAAGAGUACUCUUAGAUUAAUUUAAUUGCUAUCUCUUCUGAAAAGUUUCCAAAAUUUCUUCAUCCUACCUUUAUGCUUAGUCAAAUUUUGCUGUUUCUCAGAUUUCAUUUUUCUUAAAAGUAUUUGAAAUUCUAACUGAUUUACUUUUAGAGCUUAAGGUUUAUUUUUCCAUAUAACUCCUAUUUCAAUACUUUUUUAAAAGCAAUAAUCAGGUUUAUGCUUUGUCAGAUCUUACGUGCUAAGCAUGACUGGGAGAUGCUGAAACCAAAUGACUCAUGGUCCAAGCUCUCU
rnacentral:lncRNA from 1 species